GAGGAGAGACAGGUUGUUGGAUAUUUUGUGGCUCUCCUGAUUGUACUCUUUGUGUCUUUCUUUGCAUCUACCUGGGGGCCAGUCGUUUGGGUGGUGACUAGUGAAAUAUUCCCUCUCUCUGUUAGAGGUGUUGCUGUUUCAGUCACUACCUCUGGUAACUGGAUUGCGAACUUUGUGGUUGCUAUGGUAACCCCAUUACUUCUUGGUUCUAUACUAAAGACGGCUGGUACAUUCUACAUACUGGCAGGGUUUCUCUUUGCCUCAUUUUUAUUUGUGUUGCUAACACUUCCUGAAACAAAAGGAGAGAGUUUAGAGAGAAUUGAUGAAUUGUUUCUAAGACCAUGGCUACAGAGGAUUAACCUAUUCUACUAUUUGAGGUACAUGUACACGUACUGUGAUUUUCCUUAAACUUCAGGCAGGAAUGUUCCCUCUCAAGGAGUCAUUUAAAGACGGAGCUGUACAAAACGAACUAAAACUAGCUAAAUUUCCCUGCUUCAGUCCUUCAUGUGACUGGAUUGGAACUAAUAUUGUCUAUAAAGAUCACAUUGAUUCCUGUAAAUAUUCUGGCAUUAUGUGUCCCCAUCCUGGCUGUUGCUUAGAAAUGAAUAUCUACCCAUUUUUCGUCUUGUAUUUAUACUCCCUCUUCUUGUGAAUAUUGUUUCGAAACAUAUCCUUCAUUCCAAAUUGAGAAUCAUCACCAAACUUACUGUCCAGAAUAUUCUAUUUUAUGUUCAUCCUGCUGUGGGCAGAAGCUCCUUAGAAAAGAGUCAGAAGAUCAUCUUGUUAGUUACUGCCCUCUUACAGUGAGGCCUUGUAGUUAUACUACAAUGUAAAUAUGGUAGCUUGAAGAGUUUGAAAGAGAAGGGAUCGUAGCUCUGAAAAACUGUCCUGUAGUUCGCUCAGUUUUAUUUCACAUUUUAAUAGUCUGUGUUUGUCAUAAAAUGGUGCCAGUCUUUUUUCCAUCUCGUUCUUUUGUUCUGUUAGUUCUGCUCUGGUUGAUUCAAGGACACUUCUCUCUGUUUCUUCUACUAGCUGCUUCCUUGAGUCUUCAAGUUGUGAGCCACCAGCAGAAAGAGUUUUCUCAGAUAGUCCAAGAUGAUAGCCAGAAUCAUCUUUGUAAUGUUUAAGCAAGCCAUCAAGAGUUUCUUAACUUUGGUCGGUUUGUGUGGAAGAUACCAGAAGUUGAUAGGUGCAGAAAUGAUGCAAGAACUGGCGAUACCAUGUUGCUGUACAGUGCACCUUUCUACACCAGCAGGUUUGGAUAUAAACUUUGUUUAAGACUAUAUCUAAAUGGAGAUGGAUCAGGCAAGAACAGUCACAUCUCUUCUUGACGAUAAUGUGUGGUGAGUAUGAUGCUCUAUUACCAUGGCCCUUCUCACAAAUGGUUACUCUAAUGCUCUUGGAUCAGUCUGGCUCUGGAAAAUAUAAUGUACAGUGCUUUAAACCGGAACCUUCAUCAUCUUUCUGGCAACCAAAAUCAGAGAUGAAUGUUGCUUCUGGUUGCCCAAAAUUUGCUCUACUUUAUGCUUCAUGAUCCAGCUUAUGUGAAAGAUGAUGCUAUGUUUUUUAAAGUAAUGAUUGAUUCUCUGAUAGGUGUUGUUGUCCAUGGUCUAAUGCUUGUAGGGUAAGGACGGCACAAGAAGAGGACACUGUAUAGCCAUUGUUGGUAUAAAGAAUGAGAACAAAGAUGAUACGAGUGAUGAGGCUGAAGAUGAUGAAAAUGAUUCACUGAUAAAAGAUACAGAUGUUCUUGAGUCUAGUCUGUCAGCUAAAUUUGACAAAUAACAGAUGAAGCAAUCUUUAUAUCAUUUUGUGUACUAAUAGCAUUGUUUGAUUUUUAUGAUACAGACAGAUUUUAUUAUUUUGCUAUUAUUUUUUUAAAUGCAUGCAGCAGGUUGUAUAGUGUAUCACAUAAUAGAA